GUGGGGAAUAUUGCACAAUGGGCGCAAGCCUGAUGCAGCAACGCCGCGUGAGGGAUGACGGCCUUCGGGUUGUAAACCUCUUUUAGUAGGGAAGAAGCGAAAGUGACGGUACCUACAGAAAAAGCACCGGCUAACUACGUGCCAGCAGCCGCGGUAAUACGUAGGGUGCAAGCGUUGUCCGGAAUUAUUGGGCGUAAAGAGCUCGUAGGCGGCUUGUCGCCUCUGCUGUGAAAACCCGAGGCUAAACCUCGGGCCUGCAGUGGGUACGGGCAAGCUAGAGUGCGGUAGGGGAGAUUGGAAUUCCUGGUGUAGCGGUGGAAUGCGCAGAUAUCAGGAGGAACACCGAUGGCGAAGGCAGAUCUCUGGGCCGUAACUGACGCUGAGGAGCGAAAGCAUGGGGCGCGAACAGGAUUAGAAACCCUGGUAGUCC
rnacentral:rRNA from 1 species